rnacentral:rRNA from 1 species
GGUAGCCGGCCUGAGAGGGCGACCGGCCACACUGGGACUGAGACACGGCCCAGACUCCUACGGGAGGCAGCAGUGGGGAAUAUUGCGCAAUGGGCGAAAGCCUGACGCAGCAACGCCGCGUGAGGGAUGACGGCCUUCGGGUUGUAAACCUCUUUCAGCAGGGACGAAGCGAAAGUGACUGUACCUGCAGAAGAAGCGCCGGCUAACUACGUGCCAGCAGCCGCGGUAAUACGUAGGGCGCAAGCGUUGUCCGGAUUUAUUGGGCGUAAAGAGUUCGUAGGCGGUCUGUCGCGUCGGAAGUGAAAACCCGGAGCUCAACUCCGGGCCUGCUUUCGAUACGGGCAGACUUGAGUGUUGCAGGGGAGACUGGAAUUCC